GGUCGUUUAGCUCAGCUGGGAGAGCACCUCCCUUACAAGGAGGGGGUCACUGGUUUGAUCCCAGUAACGACCACCA
rnacentral:tRNA from 1 species